UGGGUGCAGGCCCUAUGGAGAGGAUAUUUCCUGUCAUAGCUGAGGUGUGAAUCGGUCUUAUGUUCCCUGUCUCCAGGCCUUGUUUUCCUGCCUCACUAGCACCAGGCACACAGUCACACAAGGUGGAAAAUGGACUCCGUGUGCCUCCAAGGUGAACACCCUGGCUCUCAGGAGCAGAGACCUAGUGGCAUCCCAGGGAGAGUGGAGAGACAGGGAGAGAAAUGUUCUGGCUGGUCCAGAGGGCGAAACAGCAGAGACUGUUCUGUCAGAGGCAUGUGAACCAGAGCAACUCCAUCUUGAUUAGGAGCUGGGUAAGAUGAGGCUGAGACUUGCUGGGCUGCAUCCCCGGACGGUUAAGGCAUUCUAAGUCACAGGAUGACAUAGGAGGUCGGCAAUAGCUACAGGUCAUAAAGACCUUGCUGAUAAAACAGUUUGGAGUAAAGAAGCCGGACAAAGCCCUCCAAAACCAAGAUGGUGUCGAGAGUGACCUCUGGUCGUCCUCAGCGCUACACUCCCACCAAGGUCCUGACAGUUUACAGAUCCAUGGCAAGCAGUUCAGGUGUCAGAAGGGAGACCUGGAAGAGUCUCCUCCUGGCCAUAAAGACACCUGGCAGCAAUGAAGAAUCUGGUGUGGACGCCUGUGGAGCCUCUGUACUCACUGCUUUCUUGCUGCUGAUGUGGAAUCCCCACCAGUAGAUCCCUCCUGGAUGCUGUUGCAGGAAAUCGGGAAGCUGGAGAGAUGGAACGGGGCAUUGGUGAAGCUGGCCCAGCAGCUCCUGGAAGGCACCCUCUAGCUGCAACUCCAAAGGGGCUUUUCGGCUGCAGCUCCCACCACGGCUGCUGAAGAAAGGGCUUGGGAAGGAAGGCGCUGUGGCCAUCCUGAGAUGCAACCUCAUUCUCCACUCUGAGCCUGCAGAAAGACAGGGCGCCCACUUACAGAGACAAUUUCAGAUUGCUUUUGUGGAAGAUGAAUGCUCAGAUGCUCUUUAUUUCUCUGUGAAUUAAAACCCUAAUUUAAACAUUAGCUGGGCAUGCUAAUGUGUGUGUUACUUGGGAGUUCCAGCUACUCGGGAGGCUGAGACAGGAGGAUUGCUUGAGCCCAGGAGGUGGAGUCUGCAGUGAUCUGUGAUGGUGCCACUGCACUUCAGCCUGGGUGACAGAGUGAGACCCUGUUUCAAACAAAGAAACAAAACCCACAAACCAAAACAAAACAAAACAAAACUCUAUUUAUUCCUCACUCUAUUUUUUGGCCAUUGAGAGACCCCACAGAGACUUGCUUUUUCCUUAAACUGCUAAGUCACAAAGUUCUAGAGCUUACUGUGAGAAACAAACUCACUCGCCCGAACCCAAAGAAUGGAUUUAGAAACGCAGAAGACAGCAAAAGUGAGACUUUUGAUGACGGUCUUGCAAGAUCAGGGGAAACUUCUCAGCACAUUGUCCUUGGCCAGAUGCCACAGGAGCCGCUGACCCAGUGACGUCACCUCAUUCUGCUCAGAUCGCACCCCCUGUCCGUGGGGCACUGAGGCAGGAAGAGGAAACUGCUGUAAUCUCAGGAAGCUUUUGGCCAGUGGGGCCCUAGAGCCCUGCCCAAGCCCUACUGGGUGUGGCCCCGAGUCCAGGAACCCCCCUCCCCCCUGACCCUCAUGUCCCCUCGACCUCUGUGGCAUUUUAUAAAACAAAGGGGCCCCGGAAAGCGGAAGGAGGGGGUCACACGUGUGAGCCCUGAGCACCGAAGCUGCCCCCACAGGCCCUGGAAUCCUCCCCGUGUCCAAAGACAGCCUCCUCUUCAGUCAGUGCUCCCUGUCGUCCCCGGUCCUGGGCCUGGAGGGCUGCUGUGGGGCAGGAGCAGUGGCCACUGGGUCUCUGACCUGCACCAGGAGACACGGGGAGGCUUAGGCCUCUGAACCCACAUAGAGCAGGACCGCAGCCCCAGAAAAGGGAAGAUUUCAGCAGAGGAGGCCUGUGACGAGAGAGGCGAAGGCUUGAGGGGCUCCCUGUGGGGCCUGGAGUGUGGAAGCCCCAUUGGGGCCUGGCAGGGACCUGUACCAAGACAGUGAGGUCCUGCAGCAGCUGGGGUGAGGAGAGGAGACUCCCAGGCCUGGUAAAGCGCACAGGGGCCUCUGGCACCCCUACAAGAGGAGGUUGGAGUCACCUGACGCUGUCCUGAUGCGGCUCCUGCAGAGAAGACUCCUUACUUAGCCCACAGUGCUUCUACCCGCCCUGACACCGUCCUGAUGGGGUCCUGCAGAGAAGCCUCCUUACUUAGCCUACAGUUUUUCCACACGCCCUGACACCGUCCUGAUGGGGUCCUGCAGAGAAGCCUGCUUACUUAGCCUACAGUGUUUCCACACGCCCUGACACCGUCCUGAUGGGGUCCUGCAGAGAAGCCUCCUUAGCCCACAGUGCUUCUACCCACCCUCAAUGUAUAACUUCACGUUCAGAAAUGUGUUACCCCCCUCCUCAGACCUCACACAAUUCACGAAUUUCCAAACAGCAGGAAACAGAAACUUCUAAGAAAGCAGAACCCUUGAGUCCAGGUGGGAGAAGGUGCCUGAGAAAACAGCCCUGCCAGAGACAGUACCCCAGCAUCCGGACGUUACUCCACAGACGGCCACGUAAGAGACCAGGAACCACCCUUCCCACGGUACCCCAGCGUCCGGACGCUACUCCACAGACGGCCACGUAAGAGACCGGGAACCACCCUUCCCACGGUACCCCAGCGUCCGGACGCUACUCCACAGACGGCCACGUAAGAGACCAGGAACCACACUUCCCAAGCCUUCUGCACUCCCAAAAACAUCAGCUUCCCGGAAACCUGAGACAUGCUCAAGGAAGAGCACGGUGUGAAGUCAGCUGUGGGUGGAGGAUGACCCAGGUGCCCAGGCAAGAGACUGAAGGCACAAACUGUUUCAGUAUAAUAAAGAAAAUGGAAUAAGAACAGUCAUAGAGUCAUAACACAAAUUAGAUAUAGAGAUGAUCACGGACAAUUAUCAAUCGUUAUUAUAAACAUUAUUAAUCAUUAGCUUUUAAUAUUACUCUUUGUUCCAUUACUAUAUAACCUGGGAAUAACCGGCGGGUAUAGGGUCAGGUGCUGAAGGGACGUUGUGAGAAGUGACCUAGAAGGCAAGAGGUGAGCCCUCUGUCACGCCAACAUAAGGGCCGCUUGAGGGCUCCUUGGUCAAGCGGUAACGCCAGUGCCUGGGAAGGCACCCGUUACUUAGCCGACCGUGAAAGGGAGUCUCCUUUCCUUGGAGGAGUCAGGGAACACUCUGCUCCGCCAGCUUCUUGUGGGAGGCUGGAUAUUCUCCAGGCCUGGCCUGCAGUCAUCCGGAGGCCUAACCCCCUCCCUGUGGUGCUUGAAUGAUCACACUCCUUGUCCACUUUCAUGCUCUUCCCGUACUCCUGGUUCCUCUUUGAAGUUCGUAGUAGAUAGCGGUAGAAGAAAUAGUGAAAGUCUUAAAGUCUUUGAUUGUUCUUAUAAGUGCAUAGAAGAAAACGCUGACGUAUGCUGCCUUCUCUCUCUGCUCGGCUACCUAAGAGGGAAAGGCCCCCUGUCCUAUGAUCACGUGACUUGCUUCACCUUAUCAAUUACUUGGACGACUCACCGUCCGUACCCUGCCCCCUUGUCUUGUAUUCAAUAAAUAUCAGCGCAGCCAGCCGUUCGGAGCCACUAGCGGUCUCCAUGUCUUGGUGGUAGUGGUCCCCUGGGCCCAGCUGUUUUCUCUUUAUCUGUUUGUCUUGUGUCUUUAUUUCUUACGAUCUCUUGUCUCUGCACACGGGGAGAACACCCGCUAAGCCCCCGUAGGGCUGGACCCUACACAGGAAGUCCCCUUCAUUGCUGUGUGGACGUGGUAGAUAAAGUGUUCUCAAGCUGGAAAGAUUUAACAGAUUGGCCCCUCGGGGACCUGGACAUUGAAUAUUUUACUGAUGGAAGCAGUUUCGUACUAAGGGGAGUCUGCCGAGCUGGGUAUGCCGCGGUGACUUUGGACUCAGCAGUAGAGGUACCGUCUCUGUCUGCAGAAACUUCUGCUUAGAAAGCAGAGCUAAUAGCUCUGACAAGAGCUCUCUGGCUAGGAAAAGAGCAGAAGAAGUACAGUGAAGGUCAUGAGACGCCUGAGCAGGCCUGAACGCCAGCUGCCUGGGCACCAUAGUGAAGGUAAUGGGAUAAUCCAGCUGCCUGGG
rnacentral:lncRNA from 10 species